rfam:Brassica oleracea var. oleracea cultivar TO1000 chromosome C5, whole genome shotgun sequence
GGAAUAUAAGAAACUGUAUCUUUACUUUUAACUAAAAAAACUAAGAAACAGCUCUUAAAUAAGAUAUUUAAGAAUCGGUUCUUAGAUUUUUUAAUUAAAAGUUAAGAAACAGUUCAUUAUAUUCC